AGGAUGAACGCUGGCGGCGUGCCUAAGACAUGCAAGUCGAGUGGGUUUAGACCCACGGCGAACGGGUGAGUAAUACCUAGGAACGUAUCUUUAGUUGAGGAUAUCCUCCCGAAAGGGAGAGCAAUACUCAAUGUGAUCGCAAGAUUAAAGUCGCAAGACGCUAAAGAAGCGGCCUGGGCACCAUCAGCUAGUUGGUAAGGUAAAAGCUUACCAAGGCUAUGACGGUUAGGGGUCCCGAGAGGGAUAACCCCCACACUGGAACUGCGACACGGUCCAGACUCCUACGGGAGGCAGCAGUUUGGAAUUUUGGACAAUGGGCGAAAGCCUGAUCCAGCGACGCCGCGUGGACGAUGAAGGCCUUCGGGUUGUAAAGUCCUUUUGCUCGGGAACAAUUUUUGAGCGUACCGAGAGAAUAAGAGGUUGCUAACUCUGCGCCAGCAGCCGC
rnacentral:rRNA from 1 species